CCUAAUUUGCGCAAAUCAAAGCUAAUGCCACGUGCUGAUGGUCCUUUUAAGGUGUUAGAGAAAAUAAAUGAUAAUGCAUAUAAACUUGAGCUACCUGCAGAUUUUGGGGUUAGUCCCACUUUUAACAUUGCAGAUUUGAAGCCUUAUUUGGGUGAGGAAGAUGAGCUUCCGUCGAGGACGACUUCAUUUCAAGAAGGGGAGGAUGAUGAGGACAUCAAUACCAUUGUUACACCCACAACCCCUACUGUUACAUAUAAUGGACCAAUUACUAGAGCUCGCGCACGCCAAUUAAAUUACCAGGUACUUUCGUUUCUUGGUAAUGAUUCUAAUGUUCAUGAGAAUAUGAUGCUGCCUAAAUUGGAUACUUUUGUUUUGCUUACAAAUGAAGGGCCU
rnacentral:rRNA from 1 species